rnacentral:rRNA from 1 species
UACGGGGGGGGCAAGCGUUGUUCGGAAUUACUGGGCGUAAAGGGCUCGUAGGCGGCCAACUAAGUCGGAUGUGAAAUCCCCAGGCUUAACCUGGGAACUGCAUCCGAUACUGGAUGGCUUGAAUUCGGGAGAGGGAUGCAGAAUUCCAGGUGUAGCGGUGAAAUGCGUAGAUAUCUGGAGGAAUACCGGUGGCGAAGGCGGCAUCCUGGACCGACAUUGACGCUGAGGAGCGAAAGCUAGGGGAGCAAACAGG